CAAGUAAAACAGACAGUCGCGUGGGCAGGCCGAAAGGCCGUCUAUGAGGAAAGUCCGGGCUCCACAGGGCAAGGAUAACGGGUAACGCCCGCCGAAGGCGACUUCAGGAAAAGUGCAACAGAGAAAUACCGCCGUCUUUUAUCGUUCCAUGGCAGUCGGCACCGCGCCGGCUGGCACCGCUUUCAGGCGGGGCGCGGAGAAUCCGGUUUUCGUGGAUCGGUAAAAGAUGGUAAGGAUGGAAAGGCGAGGUAAGAGCUCACCCGACGGCUGGAGACAGUCCGCCGCUGUAAACUCUAUUCGGAGCAACACCGUGGGGAAGCAACAGGUCGGCCCGACCGCUUCCGGGAGGUGGCUUGAGCGCGUCGGCGACGGCGCGUCGAGAUAGAUGACUGUCAAAUACAGAACCCGGCUUACAGUUUUGCUUGCAAA
rfam:Oscillibacter valericigenes Sjm18-20 DNA, complete genome.